UCUAAUGAGACUGCCGGUUAUAAACCGGAGGAAGGUGGGGACGACGUCAGAUCAUCAUGCCCCUUAUGACCUGGGCAACACACGUGCUACAAUGGGAAGUACAACGAGUCGCAAACCGGCGACGGUAAGCUAAUCUCUUAAAACUUCUCUCAGUUCGGACUGGAGUCUGCAACUCGACUCCACGAAGGCGGAAUCGCUAGUAAUCGCGAAUCAGCAUGUCGCGGUGAAUACGUUCCCGGGUCUUGUACACACCGCCCGUCAAAUCAUGGGAGUCGGAAGUACCCAAAGUCGCUUGGCUAACUUUUAGAGGCCGGUGCCUAAGGUAAAAUCGAUGACUGGGAUUAAGUCGUAACAAGGUAGCCGUAGGAGAACCUGCGGCUGGAUCACCUCCUUUCUAAGGA
rnacentral:rRNA from 1 species